CGUUUGACGUUAGCUGCAGAAGAAGCACCGGCUAACUCCGUGCCAGCAGCCGCGGUAAUACGGAGGGUGCGAGCGUUAAUCGGAAUUACUGGGCGUAAAGCGCAUGCAGGUGGUUUGUUAAGUCAGAUGUGAAAGCCCGGGGCUCAACCUCGGAAUUGCAUUUGAAACUAGGCAGACUAGAGUACUGUAGAGGGGGGUAGGAAGUUUCAGGUGUAGCGGUGAAAUGCGUAGAGAUCUGAAGGAAUACCGGUGGCGAAGGCGGCCCCCUCGGACAGAUACUGACACUCAGAUGCGAAAGCGUGGGGAGCAAACAGGAUUAGAUACCCUGUAG
rnacentral:rRNA from 1 species